AACCACAAAUCUCCACUGCAGCUGGGUCCUGCCCCGUGGGCAGGAGGGCUCUGCUGGGAGAAACGGGCUUGGAGGUGUCUAAGGUGGUGCUGUGGUGUAACACUUCUUGUGACAGAAAUCUUCCCCUAGUGUGGUUGAAAGAUCUGGUGUCAGAGCUCUUGAUGAAUCAGAGCUGCUGCAGGAGUGCAGUACCUGACCUGGUGUGGCCACAAUCACAGCUGCACUGUUCAACACGGGUGACAGGUGCUCUCAGGUGGGAACUUGAGAACCCCGGCAGGGACCUGGGAGGUGGGGCUGUAAUUCCUCAGCCCUGACGUGCCCUCAUGCACUUCCUAUGUAUGUUUCUUGAGCUUUUGUGUUUCAGGCUUUCAGUUGUUCAGCUGCAUGCCAUGUUCCAAAUACAAUUUAUAUAAGGGUGGAGGGAUAAAUUGAAAGAACCAAGAAUGGUGAUGUGAGUUUUGAUGUAAAGAAAUCCAGGAUAAAUUGUUCUCUAGGCUUUUUCUUCCUUUCCCUUCUAUAUACUCGUGACCAAAGCAGCAGAUGUUCUGGGCGCAGUUGGUAUGGGCCAUGCCCUCUCAUGGGAUUGUCACCUGCUGGGGGAUUGCAGAAUGCUUGCUAGAGGUUUUGUAACAGGUGAGUGAGGUCACAGCUUUACCUGGUGCUUCUAUACCUCAGCUGAAAAGAGCUGUGACAUGCAGCAGUGGGAUUUAAUUGCUGAAGAAAGCAAGAUGUUUCGUUUCACUGUGUGUGAGUAGCUCCCUUUAAGGUCAUAAAUAUUAAUGCUCUGCAUAUUCUGCAAAGACAAGGUAUGAAAGGAAGAAGCAGGAGAGCUUGAAGGCUUGUAUUUGGCACAUGAGGAUGUUGCUCAGAGAACUCCAGUAUCUUGUAUUGGCCAUUCUGUUGCUUUGCCAUCAGUGUCACACAGACAAGAUUGUAGGUACUCAUGUCACCAAUCUGAAAAAAAACCAAAAAACCUGCCCCAACAAAAUCAUCCCCCCUGGUUAUUGUUUCUCUCUGUCCUCUCAAAUAGCCUGUUGUCCAAAGAAUACCAAAAAUUAGCAUUAGUGGUUCAAACAGCUCCUCAGACAAGCUCUUUCUUCUAGUCACCAUGGAAAUUGAAACCUAGAUCUUAGCUCUUCCCCUUUUGACCUGCUUGAAGCCACUCACUCAAGAUAUAACUGUCCUAGCAGAGUCAUCUGUCUUCCUGCAGGACUUGCAGGAUCCUUUCUAGAGGUUCCUUGAGGUCCCCUGCUUAACCAGCCACAGCAGCAGCACUGGGGGUGAUUGUGACUUGUUGCUGGUUUGGGCAGCUGGGGUUAGAAGGAUUCGGACAGAAGCUGAUGGUCUAAAUCUCUUUCUGCUAUUAUUUCUGGCUUUGGUUUGGAAUUGAUUAAAAUUUGAUGUUAAUCUUUGCAGCUGUGAAGUAGAGAAAUUCAACAAUCUUUACAACUAACCCCAAAUCUAUAGAAAUUGGUUCUAGUAGUGCAGUAUUGUCACCAAGGCAUCCAGCACAGGUGCCAGUUGUGAUGUGAUCAGAGCUCCUGCAUGUUGGAUGGAUUGAGUUGCUGUAAGAACUGCUGAGAGCAGAUCUUUGGGCAGCAGAGACAGGGAAUCCACUCUUUUAUAUGAUGACCUUCAAAGUCAAACCUCUGUGUUGUCUCAUGUUUUUGGCUGACUUCCUGUGGGCAUGUGAAUAAAUCAGGUCAGUGUGCUCGCUUGAUGUGCAUAGACAAGUAUGAGGAUUAUGAAAUGAGAGCAGUAACAGAAGGGUGUGUAUUACGGUGAAAACAAUAAAGGGUAACGUAGAGGAAAGUGGUGCCCUUUUGUGGAAAUAUUUAUGAAAAAAAAUGAUAACUGGAAAAUAAGAUGGGUGAUUGAUACAUGUGGAAUGUCUCGGGAAUAAACAGAUCAAUAAAAUCAGCAAGGUGUUUUGUUACUUACUGGAGUCCUGAGAAACACUUUUGUACUUGUGAAAAGGACACGUUCUGAAUUCUGGAAAGUAUAUUGUACUGAAGUUUAGGGGAGUAAAUCAGCUGGUAGCUGCGAGUGAGGUUUGUUUUUAAGUCUGGAACUUGGGCAGUAUAUAUUCUUGUUCUGAGCCUUGCUCGAGGAACAGCGUGCACGGAGCUGAGGGAGUAACUCAUGCUGAAAAGAGCUGUGGCUUGUUCUGCUCUCGGGUUUUUUUAGCAGGGCAGUUUGCAGGAUAUUUUCUUUGUUUUCUUUGUAGCUCUAGUGUUUGGGCUACAGGGAUUUCAAAUAUUUCAGAGAAAAAAUAGCUUCAAAUUCAGCUCUGAGUCUGAUGUUUGUUUUAUUAGUGGAAAUCUUUGUCUCAUGUGUUUUCCCAGUUCUAGAUAACCUUUUCUUGUCAUCUAAGAAAUUAAUUUCUUUGUUGGACUCAUUGCAAGUAAACUUGAUAGCAGGAUUGCUGUUAUUGAGGCAGCUUACACAGUGAUUUGCUAAGUACAGCCUCUUCAUAUAAUGUGAAGCAGAAGUCGAUUUAUUGACCACCACUGGGAUUUCAGGAACUGUUGAACUACCUGGUUUUUAUCCUUCUCUCAUAAAAUUUGCUAUUAAAUGUCUUUUUUUUCUGUUACCCUCUUGAAAAGGGUUCUCUUUGAAAUGCAGUCAUACAAGAGCAGCAAUCCUACUCGUUUCUGUGCUGUAGGGUUUGGCUUUUUAAUGAAGUGUCUACAGGGUCAUGUAAAGUAUCUCAACAUCGGAUUCUUGAAGGUUUUUGUAAAAUACUUUCCCAUGCCAGGAGCACCCUGGUGCUUCUCUGCUGUGACAGCUGGCUCUGUGGCUGUGGUGCCAGCCCUUGGCAGGGAGCACAUCCCAGUGAGAGCAAACCACUGCAGACCUGCUCUGCUCUUAGCACAAGACUGUGCUUGCUGCAGUACAUGUCCUCUGUCAAAUAUUAUCUGCUGCUUCUCUGGACUGCUAAGGAAUUAAUAAAUAUAUAAUUUGAUUAGUUUGUGCUAUUUGCUGUAUAUUCAUAGUAGUUUUUUACUACUUUCUGCAAGCUCUUCUCUAAGGUAUAUGUUAGGAAGGAAAACUGUUGUCUCUGGAAAUCUGUAAAAACAGUUUUAAAAAUAGAAUCCAAGUGAACUGUACCAAGUGGAUUAUUGAUUCUCGAGGAUGCAGAGAGAAUGCUUUCUCUGAAGUCUUCAUUGCUUCAGAGCCCAUACCAGUGUCUGGAAGCUUUGGGGGUGAUGUUUUCUGAUUUACAGACAGUAAUGGAGAAAUCAUCUCUAGUUAAUCUGGAUUUCUGACAACUCUUCCCAGGCACUGCUGUAGAUGGGAUGUGAGAGCUGGGGCACUUGUGGGGGGAACUUGGACAUUUACAGGUUAUGGUACGUGGUGGGGAAGGUCUUGGACCUUGGUGUGUUUCUGCUCCAUGAGAUGGUGCCACGCUGUGUUAUGUGUGACCAGAGCACGACACUGCUUGGGACUGUCAGAGUUCCACAGAGCUGCUACAGACACUGAAAGGGAGCAGGGAAAUGAAGGCAGAAGAGAACAGCUAUGAGAGUGCCUUAGAUUACUGCAACCAGCUAAAGGGGAUGACAUGUUUGAACCCUGAUGCUGCAAGCGCAGCUGCAACAUCUGCCAGCCCAAUGCUCAGGGGAGGCAAGCCCACCCAGUUAUGUACUGCGGUUAAAAGAUUUUGGUUUUGGUUUACUUGUGCAGAAGUUAAAUGAAAGGAGCAAAACUAGUAUUUUUCAAAUUCCCUUCCUGCUUAUCUUAAUCUUGUAUUUAUUGUGCAGCAGCAUCUUAGUAGUUCUGAUUAACCUGACCACUGGAUAGUGACAGAUCCUUUUUAUUUGACUGGUCCCAGAAUGAUUUUAUUUUGCUGUCACCUGCAGAUUAACAAGCUUCAAGGGGAAAUGGCUUCUGCCAGGUGCUUGGUUAUCAUGCAUGUUCCAGCUUGGUUUUAUUUCCAAGACUGAGUGUCCAUUUGUAAUCCAGAGGAAGCCCUGAUUUCUGGGGGUGGAAGCAGGAGUAUAAAUCACCUCCAGGCUCUCAAAGGGAUAUCAGCUAGCCUGAACUAACCUUUUGCAUUGGAACUGAAGUUGUGAGAGAGCAAGAUGAAAGACAAAUUUUCCUCUCCAUCCAGCGAGUAAAUAUAUCCAUCCACAGCCUUGUCAAAGAAAACCAAGAGGCACAUUGCUAAGAGACUUCUAGGUACUUGGAGAGGAACAUCAGAUGUGAAAUGCUAACAAAAUUGACUCCUUAGAAAUUUUGAGUCUCACUUCUACUGCAGAAAAUACUUUACCUUACUCCCUUGAUCUUCAUAUUUGUAGUGGUUUUGACAUGUCCAUUAUUAAAGAAAUUAUAAGACACCCCUCCUCUGGUUCGGUGAUGUAAUGAAACCCCAGAGACUGGCUCAGUGUUUGGGGCUUUCCUAGUGAGAAGGAAGACUGCAAGGUCACCAUAUUUGCAGUUUGGAAGAAGAAUUCUCACCUAGCUGAUGGCUCCUGGCAGGUAUCACGUGCAGAACAAGUCUGCAUUCAUUUUUAUACACUUCUAAGAGUGAAAAAUGAAACUCAGUUUCCUGAUUUGGCAACAGAAGUGCCCAAGGGCUGCUGCAGGCUAUCACCUGUGAGGAGUCCUUCUUGUGAGUCCUUCCCAGUGCUGCUGUAAGGGGUUAUUUGGGAAGUGUGAGCAGGCACAGGCUUAGCACACGUGGGUGGGUGUGAGUCUUGAAGGUUUGUCAGCCCCAGCAUCAAAGCUGCAGGGCCAAUGUGGCUGUGAGUGGCCUCUGCUGCACAUUUGUGUUAGGCCUGUUUGUGCCAUGCUGUUACUGUUUUCUGGGUAAAAUUUGUGAUGUAUGUAAAUCUCAGGUAUGUGGUCUCACCUUUUGCAUCUCCUAUCUGAGAAAAUAUGUUUGUUUUUUGUCCUCCCUCUCCUUCCUUUUCAAUCAUAUUUUGCCUGACCAGCAGCUGCCCAGAGAGGAACCUGAGCCCAGGACUGGUGAGCAAGCGAGGAUCUGCUGAAUAUCCGUGGUUCAGACACCACCAUGCAGCUUCUCCACUCUGUCUUUAAUUAAACUUGGGUUUUCUGUUGUUGUAGCUGGAAGCAGCGUGCUGACACAACUCAUUCUUGUAUCAGAUUAAAAUGUCAAUGUUUUAAUGUUCUCAUCUGUGGGAAAAAGAAAAUAGUUGGGUGUUUUAUUUAUAACUUAAAAAGAUGCUGUGGGAAAGGUUUACUUGUGCAAGAUGGAAAAUGGCAACUAAAGGUACAGAGUUCCAUUUAAUAAUAAGAGUCUUUAAAAGGCUGAAAAUAGUGAAAGGAUUAAAUCUCUUCAUGAAAUAGGCUGCACUGGGGCAUGGCAGUUUUAAACAAUUAUAAAUUUACUGCAUUUUUAAUUAUUCACUGGGUUUUUUUGCAUUUGUGGCAUAGUGUGCACACAUCCUGAUGAGCUCGUAUACCAAGCUGGUGCUCUGUGAGAAGGAAAACAAUUAAAGUAUCUGAAAAAGAAUGGUCAGAAGUCAGUGUUGUCCUCCAUGCUAAGUGACUUCCUUCUGGGAGAUGGGAGCAGUAUUUUCUAGGGAGAGAUGUAAUACUAUUUUUUGUGACCAAUUCCAUUCGUGCUUUCUGCAGGUUGCUCCCUGGGCAGUGUGAGGAGUGGCAGUGGCACUGGGUUGGAGCUGUUGGUUGCAAGCUGUGCAGGCAGCUGUCCAGGCAGGUUCUGGGCUAGCAGGGUGGCCAGGUGAAUGAGGGGCUGCUGGGCAGGGGUCCAGCCAACAGCUGGAAUUGCCUACUUGGGGUUAAUGCACUUCUCCAGAAAGUGUCUCCCAACCUGAUUUAGAGAUUUGCUUGAUUUAGGCUGUCCUCUGGGUUGCCAUCUGUGGAAUCUCUGUUUCUGGGCAGCCGUGUCUCCCUUGCACGUGCAUUACACGCCCUCACCAAUGCCCUUUUGGGUUAUGCUUUUCCUGGACUGGGGGAAGAAAUAAUCCAUUUUAAAGAAGGGAAACAGAAAGAGCUCCCACUGAACACUGAUGCUGGAAGAAGAGUGCUUUUCAUUUUACUUCCUUGCUCCCUCACACUUACUCCUCUCCCCCCAUCUCCUGCAGCCCGGCUGCUGGGGGAUCAAUUUGUUGGCAGGGUUUGUUCAAACAUCAGCAGAAUGCAUGUUCUUGCUGUUCUGCUUGCAGCUGGGUGCUGGAGCCAACACAAACAGCUCUGGUGUGGGAACCAACACUGGGUGUUUGAGUCAGGCUGUUCUUAGUGGUCUGUCCUUCCUGCAGUAAAAAUGUCAGCAGUUUCUCUUCCCAUAGUGUUCAUUUAUGUUCCUGUUGUUUAGUGUUUAUACAGUCACUGUGCCUGUGGACAGUUCAAAUAAAUUUUUAAAUAAAUUCUGUGGCUUUCUUCA